GGCGUUAAGUUGCAGGGUAUAGACCCGAAACCCGGUGAUCUAGCCAUGGGCAGGUUGAAGGUUGGGUAACACUAACUGGAGGACCGAACCGACUAAUGUUGAAAAAUUAGCGGAUGACCUGUGGCUGGGGGUGAAAGGCCAAUCAAACCGGGAGAUAGCUGGUUCUCCCCGAAAGCUAUUUAGGUAGCGCCUCGUGAAUUCAUCUCCGGGGGUAGAGCACUGUUUCGGCUAGGGGGCCAUCCCGGCUUACCAACCCGAUGCAAACUGCGAAUACCGGAGAAUGUUAUCACGGGAGACACACGGCGGGUGCUAACGUCCGUCGUGAAGAGGGAAACAACCCAGACCGCCAGCUAAGGUCCCAAAGUCAUGGUUAAGUGGGAAACGAUGUGGGAAGGCCCAGACAGCCAGGAUGUUGGCUUAGAAGCAGCCAUCAUUUAAAGAAAGCGUAAUAGCUCACUGGUCGAGUCGGCCUGCGCGGAAGAUGUAACGGGGCUAAACCAUGCACCGAAGCUGCGGCAGCGACAUUUAGGUGUUGUUGGGUAGGGGAGCGUUCUGUAAGCCUGUGAAGGUGGCCUGUGAGGGUUGCUGGAGGUAUCAGAAGUGCGAAUGCUGACAUAAGUAACGAUAAAGCGGGUGAAAAGCCCGCUCGCCGGAAGACCAAGGGUUCCUGUCCAACGUUAAUCGGGGCAGGGUGAGUCGACCCCUAAGGCGAGGCCGAAAGGCGUAGUCGAUGGGAAACGGGUUAAUAUUCCCGUACUUGGUGUUACUGCGAAGGGGGGACGGAGAAGGCUAUGUUGGCCGGGCGACGGUUGUCCCGGUUUAAGCGUGUAGGUGUGUGUUCCAGGUAAAUCCGGUUCACUUUAACACUGAGGCGUGACGACGAGGCACUACGGUGCUGAAGCAACAAAUGCCCUGCUUCCAGGAAAAGCCUCUAAGCAUCAGGUAACAUCAAAUCGUACCCCAAACCGACACAGGUGGUCAGGUAGAGAAUACCAAGGCGCUUGAGAGAACUCGGGUGAAGGAACUAGGCAAAAUGGUGCCGUAACUUCGGGAGAAGGCACGCUGACACGUAGGUGAAGUGAUUUACUCAUGGAGCUGAAGUCAGUCGAAGAUACCAGCUGGCUGCAACUGUUUAUUAAAAACACAGCACUGUGCAAACACGAAAGUGGACGUAUACGGUGUGACGCCUGCCCGGUGCCGGAAGGUUAAUUGAUGGGGUCAGCGCAAGCGAAGCUCCUGAUCGAAGCCCCGGUAAACGGCGGCCGUAACUAUAACGGUCCUAAGGUAGCGAAAUUCCUUGUCGGGUAAGUUCCGACCUGCACGAAUGGCGUAAUGAUGGCCAGGCUGUCUCCACCCGAGACUCAGUGAAAUUGAACUCGCUGUGAAGAUGCAGUGUACCCGCGGCAAGACGGAAAGACCCCGUGAACCUUUACUAUAGCUUGACACUGAACAUUGAGCCUUGAUGUGUAGGAUAGGUGGGAGGCUUUGAAGCGUGGACGCCAGUCUGCGUGGAGCCGACCUUGAAAUACCACCCUUUAAUGUUUGAUGUUCUAACGUGGACCCGUGAUCCGGGUUGCGGACAGUGUCUGGUGGGUAGUUUGACUGGGGCGGUCUCCUCCUAAAGAGUAACGGAGGAGCACGAAGGUUGGCUAAUCCUGGUCGGACAUCAGGAGGUUAGUGCAAUGGCAUAAGCCAGCUUGACUGCGAGCGUGACGGCGCGAGCAGGUGCGAAAGCAGGUCAUAGUGAUCCGGUGGUUCUGAAUGGAAGGGCCAUCGCUCAACGGAUAAAAGGUACUCCGGGGAUAACAGGCUGAUACCGCCCAAGAGUUCAUAUCGACGGCGGUGUUUGGCACCUCGAUGUCGGCUCAUCACAUCCUGGGGCUGAAGUAGGUCCCAAGGGUAUGGCUGUUCGCCAUUUAAAGUGGUACGCGAGCUGGGUUUAGAACGUCGUGAGACAGUUCGGUCCCUAUCUGCCGUGGGCGCUGGAGAACUGAGGGGGGCUGCUCCUAGUACGAGAGGACCGGAGUGGACGCAUCACUGGUGUUCGGGUUGUCAUGCCAAUGGCACUGCCCGGUAGCUAAAUGCGGAAGAGAUAAGUGCUGAAAGCAUCUAAGCACGAAACUUGCCCCGAGAUGAGUUCUCCCUGAGACUUUAGGUCUCCUGAAGGAACGUUGAAGACGACGACGUUGAUAGGCCGGGUGUGUAAGCGCAGCGAUGCGUUGAGCUAACCGGUACUAAUGAACCGUGAGGCUUAACCUUACAAC
rnacentral:rRNA from 2 species